ACCGAAAGUUUGCGAUGUUUUGCAUAUAAUCGAGAAGAUUGCCACUGUCCAGUUGAUCCUCUCAAGCGAUACGUAAAGCCGUCAUGUAAAGAACAUGUAAGCCUCAUGAUGAAACAGCGUAGAAAGACAUCAAGGAGGCUGUAUUAGGAUUAGUACGCUUGUUCAAGGUAAUGAAGGAC